rnacentral:sRNA from 1 species
CCCACGGCUUGCGCCGUGGGCUACAUUCUACCGCCCCUUCCGGGGCU